rnacentral:rRNA from 1 species
AACGAACGCUGGCGGCAUGCCUAACACAUGCAAGUCGAACGAGACCUUCGGGUCUAUUGGCGCACGGGUGCGUAACGCGUGGGAACCUGCCCUUAGGUUCGGAAUAACUCCCCGAAAGGGGUGCUAAUACCGGAUAAUGUCUUCGGACCAAAGAUUUAUCGCCUUUGGAUGGGCCCGCGUUGGAUUAGCUAGUUGGUAGGGUAAAAGCCUACCAAGGCGACGAUCCAUAGCUGGUCUGAGAGGAUGAUCAGCCACACUGGGACUGAGACACGGCCCAGACUCCUACGGGAAGCAGCAGUGGGGAAUAUUGGACAAUGGGCGAAAGCCUGAUCCAGCAAUGCCGCGUGAGUGAUGAAGGCCUUAGGGUUGUAAAGCUCUUUUACCCGGGAUGAUAAUGACAGUACCGGGAGAAUAAGCUCCGGCUAACUCCGUG